GCAGACAACACAAACUCCCGUGCACAGAAGUCAGAAGGAGGGGGGUUGGGCUUUCAGCAUGAAGGAGACACCCGACUAAUAAGCCUAUUCUGUACCACCCUCUCUCACACAAAGUUUACCUGGGAGCCCCGGCAUGGCACGCACUGAUCACAGCAAUAACCAGGUGUGGUAUACAGCUCAGGAUCAGCUGAUUGAAGCAGGGACCGACUUGUCCUCUGACCCAAACCGGCAAGGGGUCUGAUGGGAACGUACCACACAGCCGUGACACUACAACAUCCAUCCUGGUCCUGGAGAUGAGUAUAACAAGACAAUUCUUGCAUCCCCCCAGCUGAGUUCCAGUGGAUUAAUCCUACCUCCGCUCGAGCGUUAUGUCAUAACGUUCACUCCAGAUCUGCAGCAGCGAGGAUAGUGUGUUUGCUGUUUAGUUCUCAUGCCAUUCUUUGUUGAACAGAUUUUUAGAUAAGUAGCACGCACAUGUCUGUGGCAUUACAUCACAGGAAAUAGGGCUGUAAUCUAGUGCUCUUGCUAAUAUAUAACAUUAUGUAGAAAAUAGAAAGGAAUCGCCGUAUAGAGCUCUCAUUUGUGUACAUAAAGUACAAAGGAAUAGGGAGAAUGUUAGACUAAAUAAAAAUGUUUUAUUGGUAAA